rnacentral:rRNA from 1 species
AUGCAAGUCGAACGGCAGCACGGGCUUCGGUCUGGUGGCGAGUGGCGAACGGGUGAGUAAUAUAUCGGAACAUACCCUAGAGUGGGGGAUAACGUAGCGAAAGUUACGCUAAUACCGCAUACGAACUAAGGUUGAAAGUGGGGGAUCGCAAGACCUCAUGCUCAUGGAGUGGCCGAUAUCUGAUUAGCUAGUUGGUGAGGUAAUGGCUCACCAAGGCGACGAUCAGUAGCUGGUCUGAGAGGACGACCAGCCACACUGGAACUGAGACACGGUCCAGACUCCUACGGGAGGCAGCAGUGGGGAAUUUUGGACAAUGGGGGCAACCCUGAUCCAGCAAUGCCGCGUGAGUGAAGAAGGCCUUCGGGUUGUAAAGCUCUUUUGUCAGGGAAGAAACGGUGAGUUCUAAUACAACUUGCUAAUGACGGUACCUGAAGAAUAAGCACCGGCUAACUACGUGCCAGCAGCCGCGGUAAUACGUAGGGUGCAAGCGUUAAUCGGAAUUACUGGGCGUAAAGCGUGCGCAGGCGGUUAUAUAAGUCAGAUGUGAAAUCCCCGGGCUCAACCUGGGAACUGCAUUUGAGACUGUAUGGCUAGAGUGUGUCAGAGGGGGGUAGAAUUCCACGUGUAGCAGUGAAAUGCGUAGAGAUGUGGAGGAAUACCGAUGGCGAAGGCAGCCCCCUGGGAUAACACUGACGCUCAUGCACGAAAGCGUGGGGAGCAAACAGGAUUAGAUACCCUGGUAGUCCACGCCCUAAACGAUGUCUACUAGUUGUCGGGACUUAAUUGUCUUGGUAACGCAGCUAACGCGUGAAGUAGACCGCCUGGGGAGUACGGUCGCAAGAUUAAAACUCAAAGGAAUUGACGGGGACCCGCACAAGCGGUGGAUGAUGUGGAUUAAUUCGAUGC